rnacentral:tRNA from 2 species
GGCCCCUUAUCAUAAUCGGUUAGUGGAGCGUCCUCAUAAGGCGUAACGUCUCGGUUCGAGUCCGAGAGGGGCCA